rnacentral:rRNA from 1 species
UAGGGAAUCUUGCGCAAUGGGCGAAAGCCCGACGCAGCAACGCCGCGUGGGGGAUGAAGGCCUUCGGGUUGUAAACCCCUUUCAGCAGGGACGAAAUUGACGGUACCUGCAGAAGAAGCCCCGGCUAACUACGUGCCAGCAGCCGCGGUAACACGUAGGGGGCAAGCGUUGUCCGGAUUUACUGGGCGUAAAGAGCUCGUAGGCGGUUCGAUAAGUCGGGUGUGAAAACUCUGGGCUCAACCCAGAGACGCCACCCGAUACUGUCGUGACUAGAGUCCGGUAGAGGAGUGUGGAAUUCCCGGUGUAGCGGUGAAAUGCGCAGAUAUCGGGAGGAACACCAGUGGCGAAGGCGGCACUCUGGGCCGGAACUGACGCUGAGGAGCGAAAGCGUGGGUAGCAAACAG